UCGAACGAUGAAGCCCAGCUUGCUGGUGUGGAUUAGUGGCGAACGGGUGAGUAACACGUGAGUAACCUGCCCCUCACUCUGGGAUAAGCCUGGGAAACUGGGUCUAAUACUGGAUACGACCGAUCUCCGCAUGGAGUGUUGGUGGAAAGUUUUUGUGGUGGGGGAUGGACUCGCGGCCUAUCAGCUUGUUGGUGGGGUAAUCGUAGGGUGCGAGCGUUGUCCGGAAUUAUUGGGCGUAAAGAGCUUGUAGGCGGUCUGUCGCGUCUGCUGUGAAAGACCGGGGCUUAACUCCGGUUCUGCAGUGGGUACGGGCAGACUAGAGUGUGGUAGGGGAGACUGGAAUUCCUGGUGUAGCGGUGAAAUGCGCAGAUAUCAGGAGGAACACCGAUGGCGAAGGCAGGUCUCUGGGCCAUUACUGACGCUGAGAAGCGAAAGCAUGGGGAGCGAACAGGAUUAGAUACCCUGGUAGUCCAUGCCGUAAACGUUGGGCGCUAGGUGUGGGACUCAUUCCACGAGUUCCGUGCCGCAGCUAACGCAUUAAGCGCCCCGCCUGGGGAGUACGGCCGCAAGGCUAAAACUCAAAGGAAUUGACGGGGGCCCGCACAAGCGGCGGAGCAUGCGGAUUAAUUCGAUGCAACGCGAAGAACCUUACCAAGGCUUGACAUACACCGGAAUCAUGCAGAGAUGUGUGCGUCUUCGGACUGGUGUACAGGUGGUGCAUGGUUGUCGUCAGCUCGUGUCGUGAGAUGUUGGGUUAAGUCCCGCAACGAGCGCAACCCUCGUUCCAUGUUGCCAGCACUUCGGGUGGGGACUCAUGGGAGACUGCCGGGGUCAACUCGGAGGAAGGUGGGGAUGACGUCAAAUCAUCAUGCCCCUUAUGUCUUGGGCUUCACGCAUGCUACAAUGGCCGGUACAGAGGGUCGCGAAACCGUGAGGUGGAGCUAAUCCCAAAAAACCGGUCUCAGUUCGGAUUGGGGUCUGCAACUCGACCCCAUGAAGUCGGAGUCGCUAGUAAUCGCAGAUCAGCAACGCUGCGGUGAAUACGUUCCCG
rnacentral:rRNA from 1 species